rnacentral:rRNA from 1 species
UACGUAGGGUCCGAGCGUUGUCCGGAAUUAUUGGGCGUAAAGAGCUCGUAGGCGGUCUGUCGCGUCUGCUGUGAAAACCCGAGGCUCAACCCCGGGCUUGCAGUGGAUACGGGCAGACUAGAGUUCGGUAGGGGAGACUGGAAUUCCUGGUGUAGCGGUGAAAUGCGCAGAUAUCAGGAGGAACACCGGUGGCGAAGGCGGGUCUCUGGGCCGAUACUGACGCUGAGGAGCGAAAGCGUGGGGAGCGAACAGG